GACAGUUCGGUCCCUAUCUGCCGUGGGCGCUGGAGAACUGAGGGGGGCUGCUCCUAGUACGAGAGGACCGGAGUGGACGCAUCACUGGUGUUCGGGUUGUCAUGCCAAUGGCACUGCCCGGUAGCUAAAUGCGGAAGAGAUAAGUGCUGAAAGCAUCUAAGCACGAAACUUGCCCCGAGAUGAGUUCUCCCUGACUCCUUGAGAGUCCUGAAGGAACGUUGAAGACGACGACGUUGAUAGGCCGGGUGUGUAAGCGCAGCGAUGCGUUGAGCUAACCGGUACUAAUGAACCGUGAGGCUUAACCUUACAACGCCGAAGGUGUUU
rnacentral:rRNA from 1 species